rnacentral:rRNA from 1 species
GACGAACGCUGGCGGCGUGCUUAACACAUGCAAGUCGAACGGCAACGUCCUGCUAUCGUGGUGUGCCUGAGUGGCGAACGGGCGAGGAACACGUGAGUAACUUGACCUUGCCUCUCGGAUAACGUCAGGAAACUGGGGGUAAUACCGGAUCGGAGCUCCCGCUGCAUGGGGGGGGUUGGAAAGUUUCGGUGGAGUGGGAUGGACUCGCGGCUUACCAGCCUGUUGGUGGGGUAGUGGAUUACCAAGGCUUUGGCGGGUAGCCGGCCUGAGAGGGUGACCGGCCACAUUGGCACUGAGAUACGGCCCAGACUCGUGCGGGAGGCAGCAGUGGGGAAUAGUGCACGAUGGAGGGAAGCCGGAUGCAGCAACGCCGCGUGCGGGAUGACGGCCUUCUGGUUGUAAACCGCUUUAGCCUGUGACGAUGCGUGAGUGACGGUAACGUGUAAAGAAGCACCGGCUAACUACGUG